rnacentral:lncRNA from 1 species
AUGGACUGUAGCCCACCAGGCUCCUCUGUCCAUGGAAUUCUCCAGGCAAGAAUACUGGAGUGGAUUGCCAUUUCCUACUCCAGGGGAUCUUCCCAGCCCAGGGAUCCAACCCGAGCCUCUUGUGUCUCCUACAUUGGCAGAUGGACUCUGGGGGCGGACAAAUCCCCAGAGGUGGGAGCAUUGUUUUGCCCUCUAGUGGCUAGAAAGGUGGCUAGAAAUUCUGGUGGUGGCUACGUGUGCGUGGGGAGUGGGGGGGACAGCCUUGAUACAGCCCUUGGGGGAGGUAAUGUUAUUUGUGGGUGGGAAGAGCUUCAGCUGCUAGUCCAAGGUCUCAAAGUGGGUCAGUGUCUGAGCCCAAAUUUUCCCCCAGUUCCGCCUAACUCCGGGUUUUCUGCCCCUUUUACAUCUCUAGAGUUUGGACCUUGCCCCCCACUGGCUGACGGUGGGCAGCCCCUGGGGCUGCAGGUGGGAGAAGGAUCCAUACACCUCAGACCAGCUGUUUGCUUCUUCAUGGGGACAAGAAAUGGGCCCAAGGUCCCAGACAUUCACAGAUGGGUAUUUGUUCAUCCUCUUGGUCGAAAGGAGCCGAGACUCUCGAGGUGGAGGUUGUACACAAGGGCCCGUGUACCGGCGCAUCCUCAGGAGAGCAGAGUGUGGGUGGGUCUGCAUCUCCCAGGGGGCUUCAGUGGAGCCCCAGGCUGUCGGACACAGGAUUCAGCCACGCUCCACCACUCAGGUCUCCUCUGCCUUCUGCUUGGUGGGUCUUGCCCCGCAGCCCGCUUCUCCAGGCUCUGCCUUCUCGAUUCUCGAACUCUUGGCUCAUCGUCACCCUUCAUCACCCUAUUGUGCUUCCUGAGCUUCCACCCCUGGCCAGCGCAUUCUUGCAACAGUUUCAUAGACUGGUCCUUGUUUAGGCCUGGACACCUCCCAGGAUCCUUGGGCUCAAUGCCCACCAGAACCCCACCCAGGUCCACCUCAUCUCCCCCCACAUCCCUCCAUUCUGGGAUGAAGCUUUUGUGGUGGCACCCUUCCCCUCAUGGGGUGUGCCCCAGUGGCCCUUGA